AGAUACAAGUUCACUAUAUAAUGGUCUGCAUGACAUUGAAGAGCCUUUAUAUACACCUGAAGCACCUUUUGAUCCAAUGUCCAACUUACAAACAUCAUUCUCGGAAUGACUACCUGGACCAACAUUUUGAAUAUACGGAGGCCGAUGCUGUUCGAUCUUCAUUUUGAUAGACGUUGAGCUCGAUUCACUUGCUUCUUUGUAGCUAGUAUUCUU
rnacentral:misc_RNA from 1 species